rnacentral:rRNA from 1 species
UCAGGACGAACGCUGGCGGCGUGCCUAAUACAUGCAAGUCGAGCGAACAGAAGGGAGCUUGCUCCCGGAUGUUAGCGGCGGACGGGUGAGUAACACGUGGGUAACCUGCCUGUAAGACUGGGAUAACUCCGGGAAACCGGAGCUAAUACCGGAUAGUUCCUUGAACCGCAUGGUUCAAGGAUGAAAGACGGUUUCGGCUGUCACUUACAGAUGGACCCGCGGCGCAUUAGCUAGUUGGUGGGGUAAUGGCUCACCAAGGCGACGAUGCGUAGCCGACCUGAGAGGGUGAUCGGCCACACUGGGACUGAGACACGGCCCAGACUCCUACGGGAGGCAGCAGUAGGGAAUCUUCCGCAAUGGACGAAAGUCUGACGGAGCAACGCCGCGUGAGUGAUGAAGGUUUUCGGAUCGUAAAGCUCUGUUGUUAGGGAAGAACAAGUGCGAGAGUAACUGCUCGCACCUUGACGGUACCUAACCAGAAAGCCACGGCUAACUACGUGCCAGCAGCCGCGGUAAUACGUAGGUGGCAAGCGUUGUCCGGAAUUAUUGGGCGUAAAGGGCUCGCAGGCGGUUUCUUAAGUCUGAUGUGAAAGCCCCCGGCUCAACCGGGGAGGGUCAUUGGAAACUGGGAAACUUGAGUGCAGAAGAGGAGAGUGGAAUUCCACGUGUAGCGGUGAAAUGCGUAGAGAUGUGGAGGAACACCAGUGGCGAAGGCGACUCUCUGGUCUGUAACUGACG